rnacentral:rRNA from 1 species
UACGUAGGGGGCAAGCGUUGUCCGGAAUCAUUGGGCGUAAAGCGCGUGUAGGCGGUCCGGUAAGUCCGCUGUGAAAGUCGGGGGCUCAACCCUCGGAUGCCGGUGGAUACUGUCGGGCUUGAGUACGGAAGAGGCGAGUGGAAUUCCUGGUGUAGCGGUGAAAUGCGCAGAUAUCAGGAGGAACACCAAUUGCGAAGGCAGCUCGCUGGGACGUUACUGACGCUGAGGAGCGAAAGCAUGGGGAGCGAACAGG